rnacentral:rRNA from 1 species
UACGUAGGGUGCGAGCGUUGUCCGGAAUUAUUGGGCGUAAAGAGCUCGUAGGCGGUUUGUUGCGUCUAUCGUGAAAACCUGCGGCUUAACUGUGGGCUUGCGGUGGAUACGGGCAGACUUGAGUUCGGUAGGGGAGACUGGAAUUCCUGGUGUAGCGGUGAAAUGCGCAGAUAUCAGGAGGAACACCGGUGGCGAAGGCGGGUCUCUGGGCCGAUACUGACGCUGAGGAGCGAAAGCGUGGGGAGCAAACAGG